rnacentral:misc_RNA from 1 species
CAAAAUCGCUGUUUGCGGCGUUGUUGUGUUGAUUUGUAUUAAGCUCACGAUUAUUAAUAAAAUAAACAAAUAAUAAGUCACUUACUAAGCACAAUUACCCAAUAAAAUGGAAGGAUUUGAUGAUCCUGGUGUUUUCUUUUCCGACAAUUUUGGAGUCGAGGAAAAUGAAUCUCAAGAUCAAGUUAACCUACAAGCUGUAAAGAAGAAGUUCAAAGAAUUUAUUCGCCAGUUUCAUGUUGGGAAUUUCAACUACAAAUACAGAGAUGCUCUUAAACGUAAUUACAACCUGGGAAAAUAUUGGGUUGAAAUAAAUAUAGAGGAUUUAUCAAGUUUUGAUGAGGUUCUUGCUGAAAAACUGUACAAGAAGCCAAGUGAACACCUUCCUAUCUUAGAAGAGGCUGCUAAAGAGUUGGUAGAUGAGCUGACAGCUCCUCGGCCGGAGGGUGAGGAGACAGUUGAAGACAUACAAGUGCUUCUGUCUUCUGAUGCACACACAUCCAAUCUCAGGGAGCUAAAGUCAGAAACUGUGUCCCGGCUGGUAAAGAUCCCUGGCAUUGUGAUAUCCGCAUCCGGCAUCAAGGCUAAAGCUACGAAGAUCUCCAUCCAGUGCCGCUCGUGCCGCGUUGUCAUCCCCAACCUGCUCGUCAAACCUGGAUUGGAGGGCUAUGUCAUGCCUAGGAAAUGUAAUACGGAGCAGGCUGGUCGACCAAAGUGCCCAUUGGACCCUUAUUUCAUCAUCCCAGAUAAAUGCAAAUGCAUUGAUUAUCAGGUCUUGAAGCUACAAGAGGCCCCAGAAAGCAUCCCUCAGGGCGAAAUGCCGCGCCACCUGUCGGUUUACUGCGAACGCGUGCUCUGUGAGCGCGUGGCACCCGGCGCUAGAGUCCAAGUUCUCGGCAUCUACUCCAUCAAGAAGAUCGCCAAGCAGGGGAGAGAAGGUCGCGGCGAGAAGAGCGUCGGCGUGCGCUCGUCGUACCUGCGCGCCGUCGGGCUCUCCGCCGACGAGGGCGCCACCGGCGGCCUGCAGCCCUUCACGGCCGACGAGGAGGAGCAGUUCCGGCGCCUGGCGGCCUCGCCGGACAUCUAUGAGAGGAUCUCCAUGUCGAUAGCGCCUAGCGUGUUCGGGGCGGUGGAUAUGAAGAAGGCCAUCGCUUGUCUUUUGUUUGGAGGUGCGCGCAAACGCCUCCCGGACGGCCUGACCCGUCGUGGUGACAUCAACAUCCUCCUCCUCGGCGACCCCGGUACCGCCAAGUCCCAGCUCCUCAAGUUUGUGGAGAAAGUGUCGCCUAUCGGAGUCUAUACGUCGGGAAAGGGCUCCAGUGCGGCCGGUCUUACGGCUUCUGUCAUCAGGGACCCGGGCAGCCGCAAUUUCGUGAUGGAAGGUGGUGCGAUGGUACUAGCUGAUGGAGGCGUGGUUUGCAUCGACGAGUUCGACAAGAUGCGGGAAGACGAUCGCGUGGCCAUUCACGAGGCUAUGGAGCAGCAGACCAUUUCCAUCGCCAAGGCUGGCAUCACCACUACCCUUAACUCCCGCUGCUCCGUGCUAGCAGCCGCUAACUCAGUAUUCGGUCGCUGGGACGACACGAAGGCCGACGACAACAUCGACUUCAUGCCUACUAUCCUGUCUCGUUUCGACAUGAUCUUCAUCGUCAAGGAUGAGCACGAUCAGAACAGAGAUAUCACGCUCGCGAAGCACAUAAUCUCCGUGCACAUGGGCGGCGACAGCGCCGAGCGCGAGACGGCGGCCGGCUCGCUGCCGCUGGCGCUGCUGCGGCGCUACGCCGCCUACUGCCGCGCGCGCUGCGGGCCCCGGCUCGCUCCUACCGCUGCUGAGCGGCUGCAGGCCAGAUACGUGCUGAUGCGCACUGGAGCGCUGCAGCAUGAACGACAAGCCGAUAAGCGGCUGUCUAUACCCAUCACUGUCAGACAACUUGAGGCCAUCGUCCGCAUCUCCGAGUCCCUCGCUAAGAUGCAGCUGCAACCAUUUGCAACUGAAGCACACGUGACGGAAGCCCUGCGACUGUUCCAGGUGUCCACGCUGGACGCGGCCAUGACUGGCAGCUUAGCAGGUGCAGAAGGCUUCACCUCAGAAGAAGACCACGAGAUGCUCUCCCGCGUAGAAAAGCAGCUGAAGCGUCGCUUCGCCGUCGGCUCGCAAGUCUCCGAGCAGACCAUCAUUCAAGACUUCCUGCGGCAGAAGUACCCCGAGCGCGCCAUCCAGAAGGUCAUCCACACCAUGAUUCGGCGGGGCGAGCUGCAGCAUCGCUUGCAGAGGAAAAUGCUGUACAGACUUUCUUGAUUGUGUUUUGUUUGGCUGGAGUAAGUGCCCUUAUAUUAGUGUCUAAUGAAAAUACAGGAAGGUAGCGGAAGAGCUAAAUAUCGCAAAAUCCUCAAUUGAAUAAGAUAUGUACAUUUCUGAGAUUGUGCAUUAAAAUGGAUUUGUAUUGUAUUGGAAUAUCAUCACUGUAAAUGUAAAUGAUUACUGUGGCCGACUGAUGAACGGCCUCGUGGACUAGAUAAAACGUAUAAUGGUGGCGCGUUUUUGUGGAGAAUUGGACGAUGUCGCGCUAGUGUUUCACGCCCUUGUCCUUCGAAAAUAUUUACCUUGAGUUGAGUAAUUUCGUCCAUGUUUGUAUGACCAUUAUCCAUCUGUGUUUUUAUUGACACGCUCACAUUACCGACCUAUUUUUUAAGUUUGUGUUAUUUGUAUCGAAAUAAAACCACCUAAUUUUGUAAA